rfam:Glossina austeni unplaced genomic scaffold Scaffold134, whole genome shotgun sequence.
GCCGAAGUGGCGAAAUUAGGUAAACGCAAUUGAUUCAAAAUCAAUCGUCUCAUGACUUGUCGGUUCAAAUCCGACCUUCGGCA